rnacentral:rRNA from 1 species
AACGAACGCUGGCGGCAGGCUUAACACAUGCAAGUCGAGCGCCCCGCCAGGGGGGCGGCAGACUGGUGAGUAACGCGUGGGAACGUACCUUUUGGUUCGGAACAACUUCGGGAAACUGGAGCUAAUACCGGAUAAGCCCUAACGGGGAAAGAUUUAUCGCCGAAAGAUCGGCCCGCGUCUGAUUAGCUCGUUGGUGAGGUAACUGCUCACCAAGGCGACGAUCAAUAGCUGGUCUGAGAGGAUGAUCAGACACACUGGGACUGAGACACGGCCCAGACUCCUACGGGAGGCAGCAGUGGGGAAUACUGGAAAAUGGGCGCAAGCCUGAUCCAGCCAUGCCGGGUGAGUGAUGAAGGCCUUAGGGUUGUAAAGCUCUUUUGUCCGGGAAGAUAAUGACUGUACCGGAAGAAUAAGCCCCGGCUAACUUCGUG